rnacentral:lncRNA from 1 species
GUAUUCUAGUUGUCGUUAUGAAUAUUCGUCGUACCUUCUUGAGAAGUUUAUCCCCAGUCAAGUCAGGUAUUCCAGCCGUCACUGAGAAUCAUCACUGGACGAAUUUUUUCCCACAGAGUCGGGUAUUCUAGCCGUCAUUAAGAAUCAUCACCGUACUUUGUUUGUCUUCAUCUAAGUUAGGUAUUCAAGUUAUCGCUAGGAAUCG